CAACACAUUACGUUGAGUUGCAAGAUGCUUGCACAAACAGAUUAUCUGCACAGACACAAUCAAGUAGCAAACAUUAUACACCAAAAACUUGCAACCAAACACAAAUUAAUAGACACACUCACACUGUAUUACAAAUACAUACCAGAUACAAUCUUAGAAAACUCGACACACAAGAUGCACUAUGACAGAACAAUCUUAACAGACAAAACCAUACAUCACUCUCAUAGACAAGCAAAACAAAGUUACUUAUGUUAUAAAGAUCUCAAUACCUAACAUACACAACAUCCAGGAUGCAUUCAUACAAAAAAUUAACAGAUACACAGAACUCUCAC
rnacentral:lncRNA from 1 species